UACGGGGGGGGCAAGCGUUGUUCGGAAUUACUGGGCGUAAAGGGCUCGUAGGUGGCCAACUAAGUCAGACGUGAAAUCCCUCAGCUUAACUGGGGAACUGCGUCUGAUACUGGAUGGCUUGAGUUUGGGAGAGGGAUGCGGAAUUCCAGGUGUAGCGGUGAAAUGCGUAGAUAUCGGAAGGAACAUCAGUGGCGAAAGCGGCUUCCUGGACCGGAACCGACGUUCAGGCACGAAAGCGUGGGGAGCAAACAGG
rnacentral:rRNA from 1 species